GUGUCUUUUCUCAGUCUUAUUACAGCAGUGCUUUUUGUUCCUUUGAUCAGGACAGUUCAUAGGAGAAUGAUAGCAGUUUUAACUGAGGGACUGAAGAAUUGGAGACUGACAGUAAUGAGAAGAACUGAAGACUAUGGUGGCAUAAAGUAGCAGAGAGGAAUAAAAGACAAAGGACAAUGAGGUGGAGAUUCAUUCUGAUAAGGGCAGAAGGCCAUGACCCCAGUGCAUGUCUCUCCUUCCCAGCAGGGACUGACAGGACGUGCCCUUCUCUUUGGAUUAGCUCAGGAAUUCUCCACCAGUGUUCCUCUCGCUGUGGUGUGCUAUCAAGCUACUCAGCACAAAUACCGAGAAGUCAUUCUUGUAAUAACAUGUCCCACAGGCAUCUGAGAGGAAAUGCUUACUCAGAGUGCCCCAUGUUUGGAGGAUAAUGUUGGAGAUGCUUGCCACAGAGAACAGUCACCGUAUGAAGUGGGGAUGUCUUCCUGAAAACAGACUGUACAUCAGGCAGCCCUUCUCUAGCAGCAGAAUACUUCUGUAGUUCACAGUUUGAGGAGCUGAUUACAGGAGAAGUUUGGCUGGUAUCAAAUGCUGUGUCAGUUUUACUUUCAUGCUUUAACUACAUUGCACUUAAUUAGGCUUUGUCCACUACCAUUUUAAAGGGCCAGGUGGUCACACAAUAGAAAGGAAAUUUUCUGGCUUUAGUAUGUGAGGUAUAAAUUAAAUAUCUUAUAGUUGUUGAACAUCUAUUGUAACUUAUGGACUGCACUUUCUCAUUCAUUAUAUGUGUGAACUAAACAAAUCUGGCUUUGACUCAAGUGAAUUUUGGCAUGUGUCAAUGCCCUACUGGCCUUUAGGCCUUUCACAAGCAUGUGAUUCCACAUUUUAUGUGGCUAUGUACUAGUGAACGGAAUGUUUAAAUAAAUAGCAAUUUGAGUCACUUAGUCUUGAAUCA
rnacentral:lncRNA from 1 species